rnacentral:rRNA from 1 species
CCCAACUAUCCCUAUUAAUCAUUACGUCAAUCCUAGAAACCAACAAAAUAGGAUCAAACGUCCUAUUUCAUUAUUCCAUGCUAAUGUAUUCAAGCGCUUGCCUGCUUUAAACACUCUAAUUUUUUCAAAGUAACAGUCCUGAUUCCCCGCAACACCAAAUUAAUGGCAUUACGGCUCAUCAAGAGGGAGGAAUCAGCAAGGCCAGUGCAUACCAUUGGCACGACCGACCUGCUGAUCCCGAAAUUCAACUA